AGUGAACGCUGGAGGCGUGCUUAACACAUGCAAGUCGAACGAUGAACCUAGCUUGCUAGGGGAUUAGUGGCGCACGGGUGAGUAAUAUAUAGAUAACGUGCCUCUUAGUCUGGGAUAGCCAUUGGAAACGAUGAUUAAUACUAGAUAUUCCUUCUGAUCUUAAGAUUAGUUGGGAAAGUUUUUCGCUAAGAGAUCGGUCUAUAUCCCAUCAGUUAGUUGGUAGUGUAAGAGACUACCAAGGCGAUGACGGGUAGCGGGUUUGAGAGGAUGAUCCGCCACACUGGUACUGAGACACGGACCAGACUCCUACGGGAGGCAGCAGUGAGGAAUAUUGCACAAUGGGGGGAACCCUGNAUGCAGCAACGCCGCGUGGGAGGAUGACGCAUUUCGGUGUGUAAACUCCUUUUAUAAGGGAAGGAAAUGACGGUACCUUAUGAAUAAGCACCGGCUAACUCCGUGCCAGCAGCCGCGGUAAUACGGAGGGUGCAAGCGUUACUCGGAAUCACUGGGCGUAAAGGACGCGUAGGCGGAUUGCCAAGUCUGAUGUGAAAUCCUAUGGCUCAACCAUAGAACUGCAUUGGAAACUGGUAAUCUAGAGUAUGGGAGGGGGAGAUGGAAUUAGUGGUGUAGGGGUAAAAUCCGUAGAUAUCACUAGGAAUACCGAAAGCGAAGGCGAUCUCCUGGAACAUAACUGACGCUAAGGCGUGAAAGCGUGGGGAGCAAACGGGAUUAGAUACCCCGGUAGUCCACGCCCUAAACGAUGAACACUAGUCGUCGGGAUGCUAGUCAUCUCGGUGAUGCACUUAACAGAUUAAGUGUUCCGCCUGGGGAGUACGGUCGCAAGAUUAAAACUCAAAGGAAUAGACGG
rnacentral:rRNA from 1 species